CAAAGAUAAUGGUGCUCUUUGGAAUGUGCCAUCUUUGUUCUACUUAAAUGUUUAUUAAACGAAGCUCUGUGACACAACACAGUGAGUGUGGAACACGGGACAGAGUGGGGCUCGGACAGGCAGUGGGCCUCUCGCCAUCCUGGGCAGGAACACAGGCUGCAGACCUGAGGUGCAGGUGGAGCACGCACAAGAUUUAAUCUCUUUGAGCUACUUCUUUGCCUAGAGAAAAAAAAAGGGAUAACCUGGUAUGCUUUAGGCUCUCCAAGAGUUAAGUGGAAAAGCACAUUUCCAGCAGUUAACCCAGAACCUGCACAUGCUCUCCGUGAUGGAUGGCGUUCAUUCUGUUUCUCUGCCACCCCUAACCCUGAUGAAUUUCUCAGAUCAUGCUCAGUGGCAAGGAUGGAUUACACACCUUCCCAGACUCCCAAGAACAGCAGGAGAUCUUGGAAACAUCACAAUAGUCUGAACUCUUCCAGAGUACAGGGAACAAGGGUUCCUCAAGUUCACUGUCCAGAAGGAACCAGACUAUUUCCAGCUUAAAAGAUUUCAGCUGGGUUUUAGAAUGCGGAGAUGUAAGGAAAAGGAAAACGCACGCCUCAUCUGCGUCUUGGAGCCCGGAUGUCGGAAACUUCACCCCCCCAUCGGAACGUCCUCUUUCCAGAAUGAAGCUCUCUGUUCUGCUCUGACCCAGCCUGGGAAGUCCUGCCUUCUCUGCUCCUCUCAGCUUUUCCGUCUGUUGGAGACAUUAUGUGAACAUAUCCAUGGUGUAUCCAAGAGGAAGAUAAACCUGUCCUUCUGUCUUCAUCACGGGUCAUGACAUCUGUGGAUCCCAGUCCAGGGUCACAGUGGACAAAAAGGAAAUGGUGAAUUCUAAGGACUGUGGCUCAUCCCCUGGUGACUGCUCUGCCCGAGGAUGGUUAGUCUGAGCUUAUGUGGACACAGCUGUUGUCAAUCAAACCACCUCCCUCCGUUCUCAUCAGAAGCCACUGGAUUUGGGAACCACAUCAGAGUGUGGAAAUUUGUUUA
rnacentral:lncRNA from 1 species